rnacentral:lncRNA from 1 species
CACCGUGCCCGGCCAAGGGUCUGCAUUUCUAACCAGCUCCCAGGUGAUGCUGAUACAGCCAGUCCAUGGCCCACACUAUGUACAAGGAGCCAGGUUCUGAACCAUACGUACUGUGUCUCUCUCACGUGUGCUGGACAUGGCAAGUAUGUAUUCCUCAUGACAUUUAAUGUGCUCAUGUUCUUCAGUGGUUUACCUUUUGCUAAUAAAUCUCAGUGGUUUCCUGAUUAUUCCAUAAUCAUGAUGGCAUUCACUUUAUUGAGUGGGAGAUGAAGUGAUGCAGGAAUGAGCCAAUCCUAAUACAUGUUAGAAGUGUAUUAAUCCUAAAUAAAGCCUAAAAUCAUCUAUUUUCUUCAGUAAUUGUUUCCAUGGUGGGAGGUUAGGGGGAGCUUUUGAGGUGAUUUAAAGUCAUUUUCAAAGCAGAUGAAGACGGCAACCUGAGCUUUCUGUCAGGACAUGUGUGUAGACUGGAGACCUAUCACAUCCAACGGGACCCUCAGGCCAAUCCUUUUAAGCAGGGGGCUCCACCCAGCCCCUUAGCUUCCCUACUCCCCUAAGCCCCUUGGUUGUAGACAGUAGCUUCGGGUGCCAGGUGGGAGGCCAUGCCAAACAACUAUAGCCAAAGAGCAUGUCUCUGAUGCCAUUUCUUUGGUGGCCUAGGACAGAAUCUGAGCUAUUUCCACUAGAGGAAUAGGAGCUUCAGCAGGGGGCCUUGGAAAUGUAUCCAAGGUACCCACCUCCUGUCCUUCUUUCUGGAAGCAUCUGGCCCUGGGAAGUAGCAUCCCGACCACUAAUAUCAGGGCACUAAUAUCAGGCAAAGGGAGGAAAAGUUGCAUCCUGACCACUAAUAUCAGAAAGGCCCCUCCUCCCAGCCCGUGAAGAGGGGCCUCUCUGGGUGUGUACCUGGAACCCUAUCUUGGAAGUUAAGUUUUGUGGUCACUGCUACCAACACACCAACUCCCAGGACACAGGAUACUAGGGACUUCUGUGCCCCAUCAGUGGACAAGUCACAAGUUCCCAAAGCAGGGUGACCAAUCGAUCUGGAUCAGGUGGCAGGGCCUCGGAUCUUAACUGUCCAUUUCAUUGUUAUGCACACAAACUUAUCUUAGAGAUCCGGCCAUCUGCCUGUUCCCGUCCUGGGGAUACCUGCGGGAAGGCAGGCUGUGCCUCCCAGAGGUCAUCUGGGCUGCAAAUGGGUGCCAAGACCUUCCUCUGCCCCUACUCAGGACUCCAGACUCCUCCACAUCCCCUGGAGAUACUCAAAGCCCAUGCCCACAGUAACCCGUAGGGAAACUGACCCGCUCUGCCUGGGAGCUGCUCCCAGGAGCCUCAGCAGUGGCAACCAGGAGCUUAGAGACCGCUGUGCCUCUCCCUGCCCACCCUCUCCCUCUCAUCCUGCCCCAUUUCUCUGUUGUCUUUCCUCUUUCCUCUCUUCAUUGUUCACAGCACUAUUUAAUCUCCUUCCCCUCUUUCUUCCCUUAUUCUUGUUCUGACUCUAUUCCCAGGUCCAGAGAGGCCCAGAAUCUUCUCUGCUCCUGCUCCACCUCCUGACCCACUGCCCCCUGGGAGCCCCUGGUCAUCCCAGAAGCCUGUUGUAUUUUAUAACUGAAUAUGGCAUGUGUGAAAAUAUCAGCUACCAGACUCUGUUAGUCCAGGCGUAUGAAUAUUCCAGAUCACAAGGGAGGUGUGACUCCCCUGUGAAUUGCAAUGCGGAAGGUUUAUAAAGUUAAUCAUUUAGAAAUCUGUCUUUAAAAUUUAAAUAUUUAGAUUGGGUCGCUAGGACACAAAAGGCAAUUCCUGUUUCUCACUCACUUAAUUUGAUUUUUUUUUCUUUUGGUCGCACAAGUUGUUUUUCAAAGCCUCAUUCCUCGAAUGUUCCCUAUAGGAGGAAUGUAAUUAAACUCCACUGGCCUCCCCCUGCUGGGACCAAACAGGGGCCAGAGCUGUAGGGAGCAUAAAACAGAUAUCCUGCAAAAGAAUCCUUAUUAUAAAGAUGAGAAGAGAAUCAACUUCCCUCUGGUUAUGAACAAGAAGCUUUAGAAAGCCACCCAGGCUAUUUUUGCAAUGGGCUUAGUCUCCAAGACAUUUUAAUUAGUAAUUUAAGACUGGAAGGAAGGGGAUAAACUCCUCACCUCCCUGGCUAUAGGCAAGAACUUCAACUGGAUGAGUAACUGGUUCAAGUGGCUGAAAAGGAGGGAGGUCCAGAGGGAGGGUGGUUCCUUAAAAUGAACCAACUUUUUCAUGAAAAUGGCAUAGCUAGAUAUCCCGGCCCCCAGUCAGUCACUGUUUUUGCAGUCCCACUUCUUAAGGCAGUUCUCACCCCUCACCAGAGGCAGGCACUGCCUCUCUCUGGGACACUCGGCUGGCACCAGAGCAAAGAAGCUUGUGCUGAGGGAUGGUUCCCCUCACACCGGGCCAACCUGGACUUCUCUCUGACCAAAGAGCAUAUGCCUCCCACCAAGCGAGAAGGUGGAAAGAUCCUGGCAGGGAACCCCGAGACCUGGGUGCUAGCAUCAUCCCCGCCAUGAGAGCACACGGGGCCCCUGAGCUGACACCUGCUGGCAAUGUGACGUGGAUCACUCACAUAAUCCCUUCCUUAGUUUUUCUGUCUGUAAAAUGGGGAUAGUAACAUUGUGUAGCUCAUAAGGUUGUCACCAAGAUUAAACGAGUUAAGAAUACACGUGCAAUGUUUGAACAGCGCCAGCAUUACGUACAUAUAGCUACUCUCAUUCGCCUUUCUGUGACUCAGUUUCCUUAUCUGUAAAAGAAAAAGGUUGGACUAGACCUCUUCUCCACUGUUAUUGAUGAUGAUGAUGAUAAAUGAAUGUUUCUGUGCCAGAUCCUAAACUAAACAAAAGUUAACUUGAUACUCACAAUGGCUGUAUGAAGUGGGAGUUAUCACCAUCCCCAUUUCAUCAGUGGGGAAAGAAAGGCUGGAUUAGUCAGGGAUCUCCAGAGGAACCGAACUAAUAGGACAGAGACAGAAAGACAUUCAUUUUCAGGAAUUGGCUCAUGUAAUUUAUGGAGUUUGGCAAGUGUGAAGUCUGCAGGGCAGGCUGGCAGUUUGGACAACCAGGCAGGAGUCAAUGCAACAGUCUAGACACAGAAUUCUUUCUUCGCCAGAAAACCUCAGUUUUUGCUCUUACGGCCUUCAACCGAUUGGAUGAGGCACGCCCAUAUUAUUGAGGAUAAUCUCCUCAAAGUCAGCUGAUUUUAAGUGUUAACCAUAUCUACCGAAGACCUUCCCAGCAACCCUGGGAUUCAUGUUUGAUUAAAUAACUGCACACAAUAGCCUAGCAAAGUUGACACAAAAGACUAACCAAGCUAAAUAACUUGAGAACAUAAGAUAAUACCCUAGGACAGGGCCUAGGUCGGAUUGGCACUCACGUUUCCCGACUCCUUAGUCUGUAUUCUUUUCAACCUUGUCUCUAAUAUUCCAUGAUUCCAUGGUUCUGAUGCCAUUCCUCAGCGCUCUGCUGUUCUUGCCUGACCAAGUGGAUCAAUGGUGGCUCUGGCAUUUCUAUAAAGGGGAUUUCAGGGCUGCCUGCUGGGGAGGGAGGCUUGAAGCUGUGUCUGCACUGCAUCUUCACAGCACUGAGAAAAUGCCAGUCAUUCAGGAGGACAGGGCAGCCCUGUCCUCGCCACAGUGCCCGCAUCUUCAUUGGUUCACCUUUGCAGGUAUCAUCUGUGACCUGUCAUCCAGGCUCUGAGCCCUGAGGAUAAUAAGUUUCCCUCGAAGGUCCUGGGUUUGUUGGAGCUUUUUCUCCCUCUUGCCAUGUCCUUUUCACGGUCCAUCCUCUGAGUUUGUGAAUUAUCUUUCUUCGUGGCCCAUGUGGCACAAGAUGAAGAGUGCAUGGGCAGCUUCUCCCCUGACAUCCCUACCUCCCUGACGCUUAACCCACAUAGGGAAGAACAUUCCUGAAACAGAGACGUCACCCAGGGUUGCUUUCUGCCACAGCAGGCACUCUGCUUCGUGCCUUUCUCACUUCCAUUUGUAAAUGAUCUUGUCUCCUUCCUUGUAGAAAGCUUUUCAGCCAUUCCAGGCUUUCUCUUUGGGUUCCAUCCCUCUGGGAUUUUCCACGAAUUGCAUUUCCUUGUAGUUCAUUUUCAUCAUUUUCCUUGUUAGGGAAAUGCACCUGAGACAUUGGCAUGCAGCCUGAUUGCCCCCGGCCUCCCCUCUGCUCAUUGCCAGAGCUACCUCUGCACAGAGGAGUCACUCUCCUCCCACUCCAGGGCCUCUGUCAGGGGCCAGGCUUGAUGCUGUCACCAGCCAGCUCUUCACUGCUGCCCAGUGCCAUAUUCAUAUCCAUUGAGACAAGUCCCUGGGAAAUGGUUGGGAGCCGGGGGACAGCCCUGCAUCCUGAGAUCCUAAGAUCAGGGAGGUUCUCCCUGCACUCCCAGCUGGAAGGAGACUGGAUCGGCCACCCUCACCAAAUUCCCAGAUUCUCUGACUGAAGCAAGCCAGUCCUUGGUUUGAAUGGGGAAUCAACUCAGGGUUAUAAAAUAGACGCCAGCCUUCUUGUAGGUAGAAUCUGACUUCAGACAGCAAAAGACUCUAAAACAGCUUAAAUUCCUGUAUAUGCCUUCUCCUGUGCAUGCCACCGGUCAGACCAAAGGCCACACGCCAAUCAAGGCCCAAGAUCAGCCAGGGGUGUUUCCAUGUCCUCAAGAACUUUUACAAACUGUAGCUGAUUGGGUUCCGCCCCUGGAGAUUCGAUUUAGUGGGUCUGGAGUGAGGCCUGGGCUUCUUAGAAGCCCCAGCGGAUUCUAAAAUGCAGCCAGGAGGAAGAACGUUGCCAGAAUCCCAUGAGGCACAGAUGCAAAUGUGCAUAGUGACAUUGGGUUGCAUUAUCAAUGGCAGGACUGACUUUAUAAACCUCCACAUCCUUACUGGAGCUGCUGUUUGCUUUUUAGAAAAGUCCCUCAUCAGAUUAUCAGGAAGUCGUGGGUUUUCCGUGAUCAUGCUGUGGUCAGAUCCAGCCCAACCAGAGAGCCAAAAACAAAACAAACAUACAAAACAAACAAACAAACAAACAAAACCCAAAUCCCUGGCAAGCCCCACGAAAUGACUGCUCUGAUAACAUUCAGCAGACAAGCCUGUUUGAAAUCAUCUCAGAAUCAUACCAGACCCAAACCCAAGAGGUCAUCUGGUCUAUGCAUCGACUCUAGGAGGGUGUAUUAGUCCGUUUUCACGCUGCUGAUAAAGACACACCCGAGACUGGGCAAUUUACAAAAGAAAGAGGUUUCAUGGACUUACAGUUCCACAUGGCUGGGGAGGCCUGACAAUCAUGGUGGAAGGCAAAGAGGAGCAAGUCACAUCUUACGUGGAUGGCGGCAGGCAAAGAGACAGCUUUUGCAGGGAAACUUCCUUUUUUAAAACCAUCAGAUCUCGUGAGACUUACUCACUAUCACGAGAACAGCACGGGAAAGACUCGCCCCCAUGAUUCAAUUACCGCCCACCAGUUUCCUCCCACAACACAAGGGAAUUGUGGGAGUUAAAAUUCAAGACGAGGUUUGGGUGAGGACACAGCCAAACCAUAUCAGAGGGUGAGGGGCUAUUUCUCCAUGUUACAGACAAGGCACGUGAAGCCUAGGGACGUUCCAUCACAGGCCCACACCUUGUCUCAGAAUUAAGAGGAAAUGCUUCUGGCUGCCAGGGGUGGGGUGGGGUAGGAUGCAGAGCCUCUCCCUCCACCACCACCUCCAUCCUUUUCCCUUUCUCUGAAAAUCUCAUUUGAUGAUUCCCCAGCCUGGCUGCAAAUUAAAGAUUUGUAGACCUGAAAGAUGCUACCGAUGGUUAUCAGCACCACCACCACCAUCGUAACAGUAAACAUUUAUGGAGCGCCAUAAUUAUUCAUAAUAAUUUUUAUGUGUUAAACAAAUCUGACCUAGCUCUAUAAAGAAAUAGGCCCUGUUAACCAAAAAUAUUGGAUAAAUUAAAAGUCUCCUAGAAGCAUCUGAUGAAAGGAUCUCAAGUUCCAUAACACACGGACCAUUCAGUGGUGUUGUUUCUGGGCUUGAUUCACUGUGGGUCACUUGAACGAUGUCGGGGGUAUUGUCCACCUCCCAGUGCUCAGUCUGUGGCUUGUGGCCAGCUGUUCCUCUGUGGGGUCUAUGUUGGCUGUGUUAAGGCCUGCUGCAGAAACAUCUCAUUUCUAGCAUGUUUUUCUCAAGCAGUGAUCCUGUGGGGUCAAGUCUUCAAUAUCAAAUAAUAUUGAUAAUAAUUAUGAUAGAAAUAAUAAGAGGCCAGGCACCGUGGCUCACAUUUGUAAUCCCAGCACUUUGGGAGGCAGAGUUCAGGUGGAUCAUUUGGGCCCAGGAGUUCGAGAUCAGCCUGGUCAACAUGGUGAAACCCAGUCUCUACUAAAAAUACAACAAUUAGCCGGGCAUGGUGGUGCACACCUGUAAUUCCAGCUACUCGGGAGGCUGAGGCAGGAGAAUUGCUUGAAACCAGAAGGCAGAGGUUGCAGUUCGCUGAGAUUGCACCACUGCACUCCAGCCUGGGUGACAGAGUGAGACUCUGUCUCAAAAAAAAAAAGAAA